UCUCGCACGCGCGCGCGCACGUACGCAUGUAACCGCCAAUUGCAAUAUUUGAAAAAAGAACCCGAUCAACCACUGUUUUGCUGUUCAGAAGUCCGUCUAUAAUUCAUCAUAAACUAAAGGAACACAUGUCAGAUUCGGACAACGACUUCAAAUUCAUUCGCAGAAUACGCUAAACAAUUGGACGACGGAUACACUGGAUGAUAAUGUAGAUGGUCCAGGAUUAUCUGGGAAGUAAACUACAGGUGUUGAACACAGAAAACCGUUUACAAGAAAACAACUGGAGUUUGUGAAAGCUGCAAGAAAUUAAUCUUGCCGGGUACGCAUUCACUUCACCUUGGUCGAGUGCAGCACAGUGGAUAAAUGUGUUGCUGAAGGAAAACACCAUUGCUAGGAUUCAAACCCACGACACUCUGUUGAAAGGUGAGAGUCAGAACCACUAGACCACGACGCACCCACAAUUAACAAGCUGAUGUCAUAUCCCCACUUGUUCUUUUGUAUUUUAUAACAAGAAGUCAUGUUUAUUCACAUUUUGACCUCCAAGAACUAAAAAGUGGAGUGAAGAUUUAUUUAAUGUAAACACAUGCAUUGCUUGAAAUCAUUUUAUGCUACGUGGGACAUAUCAUACACACGUGUACGAAAAUAUGAAAUUAUUAUGAUUAUGAAAUCAAAGACUUUGUUAUCAGAUUUUAACGAAAUUGUCAACAUUAUGCUUUUCUGAUUAAUUCUCUUCCUACCUAAAUCUCCCCUUUUCUCAUGCUUUCUUUCUAUGGUCCCCUUCAUUAUCCUUAUAACUAUGUUAUAUGUAAAAUGUAACCGGUCGUCCAACCCAUUUGAUUGAAGGGCUAGGUACUCUAGACUGAAAGUUAUGUGAUUUAAAUUCAAAGAGUACAUCAGACAAAAAAAAAAAACACUGAAAAUUUUAUCAAAAUUGAAUGAGGAUUAACAAAAUUAUGACGAAUUAAAGUUGUUAUUUUUUGGUAAAACUGUUCUCUGCAAGUCCUCAUGAAUAUACAAGAUCCCAAUUUAUAUAUUUUUUUGUAUUAUAUGAAUUCAAAUUUUGUCCAAGCUAGGUUGUAAAAAAUUACGAUUGACUACUGAUUUACUGUGUAAGACAAAAAUUAUAUUAUUUCUCACACAUAGUUGAGUUAUUCAUCUGAUUCAACACAACAAAAAUAGACAAAAAAUAAAUAAGUGGGAAUCUUGUAUAUUUGAACUAUGGGAAAUAGUUAAAAAAUAGAUGUGCUACUAAGAAUUAUUUUCUAUAUGAUUUGCAAAAUAUUAAAAAAAGAUGUCGCUAUUUUUCUUGUUUUUUUUUCUAUUUUCAUGAUAUAUUCUUUAUUAUUCUAUUCUAUAUAUUCUAUUUUUGAUAUAGAUAUUAUUUAUUUAUUUAUGUAUCUUUAAUGUAUUUAUGAUAAACUUUUGGCAUGUUUCUACAGAAAAUCAUUAAAAACGAUUUAUCUUUUCCGGACUCGAAAAACCUUAUUGCCCUUAAACCAACCUGCUUCUACAAACCGAAUAAUCUGAUUAAUUCGCUUUUCGCGUUGCAAAUACGGCGGAAAUCGGAAAAUUCAACCUAUAACCUCACGUUGCAUUGUACAUAUGCCCAAAAUUGCAUCUUCUUAGGAAAAUUUUCAAAAUUUGUGGUAGAUCUCACUCAAUGUAGCAGGUAUACGUGUUGCACGAUCAGCUGGCGAGAUCGAAAAGGCCAGAAUAUGCAAAUAUAUGUACUGCAAAAUUGCACUUCCGGGAUUAAGCACGUCCGCCACACACGAUACGCUAUUUUGCCGUGUGAUUUACAGAAAAGUUAAACGGAUUAACAUGGCAAUAACCACCUCUCAGAGAUGGUUAUGAGAAACCAUAUUUUGCUUGAAGCAGUUUAUCAAUAAACCACAUCGCGUCUGUUUCUACAAAAUUCUACAGGAAAGUUUUCCGGGAUUCUGGAUAAUUACGCGGGUAAUACCUUUUAACGAUUCUAUGUAGAAACACGCCGUUUGAUAUAUCUUUUAGGUGAAAAGAAAAUAGAGAAAUAUUAGGAGGUUCUAUUUUUAUGGGGGUACUAUUUUCCCCCCUUUUGGGGAUAUUUAUUUCCUCUAAGUUUGGUACUCUUUACCUUUAAUGAAUCAUUUGGCCAUGUGAAGGCUAUCACACAUUUUGAGUUUAAUCUUCGAAAUUUGGUGUUCAUCAGUUUGUUGUCCAAACUCUGUCUUACAUGUAGAUUUGUUUAUAGGAAGAUUAACAUAAUAUAUAUGUGGAGUGCAAUCAUUGACCUCUUGUAGAGUCGUGCAGUCACAUGUAUUCAUAAUGCUGGUGCUUUUAUGCCAUACAUGUACUUGUCAAUACUGGGUUCCACUCUUUUGUACUUGAACUCAUUAGUAAAAAAAAUAUUUUAUUAAUGUCAUUGAAGUAGCUGUGUGAAAGCAAUUACACACAACAGAUUUAAAAUCAAGGUUAUUGUAUUACAAGUAUCAGGUUUGUUUGCAGAACAGUGGUUUUGCCAAGUACUCAAUCCACGUAAAAAGCCAUCAGAGACAACAUGUUUAUUCUUGGAAAUGUUAUUAAUUUGUUGUGUUUUUCAAUUAAACUCUGUCUUGAUACAUGUUUAUUUUAGAUACCAAGAUUGACAGAGUAUAGAUGUCAACGAGGAGCAAAGUCAUAUAUAUUCAUAACUUAUGUGCUUUAAUUAUAAAGUCUAUACUUGUGAAUACUGUGUUCCAUUUAUGCUGUACUUAAACUUCUUAUAGUAAAAACAUUUGACGUUCUUGAAAUAA